CCUACGGGAGGCAGCAGUGAGGAAUAUUUGACAAUGGACGAGAGUCUGAUCCAGCCAAGCAGCGUGAAGGAUGACUGCUCUAUGGAUUGUAAACUUCUUUUAUAUGGGAGUAAAAUGUUCCACGUGUGGGAUUUUGUAUGUACCAUAUGAAUAAGGAUCGGCUAACUCCGUGCAAGCAGCCGCGGUAAUCCGUAGUAUCCGUGCGUUAUCCGGAUUUAUUGGGUGUAAAGGGAGCGUAGGCGGAUUGAUAAGUCAGUUGUGAAAGUUGGCGGCUAAACCGUGGAAUUGCAGUUGAUACUGGGGGCCUAGAGUGCAGACAGGGAUGCCGGAAUUCAUGGUGUAGCAGUGAAAUGCGUAGAUAUCAGGAAGAACUCCGAUCGCGAAGGCAGGUGUCCGGGGUGCAACUGACGCUGAGGCUCGAAGGUGCGGGGAUCAAACAGGAUUAGAUACCCCAGUAGUC
rnacentral:rRNA from 1 species